GCUUUGACACGAUUAAGGCUAUUAAGCACUGGAGAUCAUUAUAUAAAAAUCAUUCUCUAACAAGCUUGUAAACCACUCACUUCUAAUUCUACAUGUAUUAGUUUUAAACAGCUAAAUAUCAUCCUGUAUUCCAUCGUUAAGAUAACGAUGGUUUCACCAUUCCAGAUCUAAUUUUACUAUAUGAACUUUUCUAAUUAACUGUAGUUGCUAAGC
rnacentral:lncRNA from 1 species